AGAGCGACCCAUCGAAUCAGAGCCUUAUUUGGUCCGACAAGCCGGACAUCAGUGCCGUGGCCAAAGCCUGGGAGGACAGUCCGUAUCUGUUCAUCGUGAAGGUGCAGCAUUUGUUCCCCCGAGUUGAGGAAGAAGAAUUCGCGGCAGAGCAGCCCAACUAUGCUUUCAUAAUGAAAGUGGAGAUGAAGGGACCACAUGACUACUCUUCUCCAGCAGACUGGCCCCUGAUGAUG